rnacentral:rRNA from 1 species
GGGUUGUGAGGUUAAGCGACUAAGCGUACACGGUGGAUGCCCUGGCAGUCAGAGGCGAUGAAGGACGUGCUAAUCUGCGAUAAGCGUCGGUAAGGUGAUAUGAACCGUUAUAACCGGCGAUUUCCGAAUGGGGAAACCCAGUGUGAUUCGUCACACUAUCAUUAACUGAAUCCAUAGGUUAAUGAGGCGAACCGGGGGAACUGAAACAUCUAAGUACCCCGAGGAAAAGAAAUCAACCGAGAUUCCCCCAGUAGCGGCGAGCGAACGGGGAGCAGCCCAGAGCCUGAAUCAGUGUGUGUGUUAGUGGAAGCGUCUGGAAAGGCGUGCGAUACAGGGUGACAGCCCCGUACACAAAAAUGCACAUACUGUGAGCUCGAUGAGUAGGGCGGGACACGUGGUAUCCUGUCUGAAUAUGGGGGGACCAUCCUCCAAGGCUAAAUACUCCUGACUGACCGAUAGUGAACCAGUACCGUGAGGGAAAGGCGAAAAGAACCCCGGCGAGGGGAGUGAAAAAGAACCUGAAACCGUGUACGUACAAGCAGUGGGAGCACGCUUAGGCGUGUGACUGCGUACCUUUUGUAUAAUGGGUCAGCGACUUAUAUUCUGUAGCAAGGUUAACCGAAUAGGGGAGCCGAAGGGAAACCGAGUCUUAACUGGGCGUUAAGUUGCAGGGUAUAGACCCGAAACCCGGUGAUCUAGCCAUGGGCAGGUUGAAGGUUGGGUAACACUAACUGGAGGACCGAACCGACUAAUGUUGAAAAAUUAGCGGAUGACUUGUGGCUGGGGGUGAAAGGCCAAUCAAACCGGGAGAUAGCUGGUUCUCCCCGAAAGCUAUUUAGGUAGCGCCUCGUGAAUUCAUCUCCGGGGGUAGAGCACUGUUUCGGCAAGGGGGUCAUCCCGACUUACCAACCCGAUGCAAACUGCGAAUACCGGAGAAUGUUAUCACGGGAGACACACGGCGGGUGCUAACGUCCGUCGUGAAGAGGGAAACAACCCAGACCGCCAGCUAAGGUCCCAAAGUCAUGGUUAAGUGGGAAACGAUGUGGGAAGGCCCAGACAGCCAGGAUGUUGGCUUAGAAGCAGCCAUCAUUUAAAGAAAGCGUAAUAGCUCACUGGUCGAGUCGGCCUGCGCGGAAGAUGUAACGGGGCUAAACCAUGCACCGAAGCUGCGGCAGCGACGCUUAUGCGUUGUUGGGUAGGGGAGCGUUCUGUAAGCCUGUGAAGGUGUGCUGUGAGGUAUGCUGGAGGUAUCAGAAGUGCGAAUGCUGACAUAAGUAACGAUAAAGCGGGUGAAAAGCCCGCUCGCCGGAAGACCAAGGGUUCCUGUCCAACGUUAAUCGGGGCAGGGUGAGUCGACCCCUAAGGCGAGGCCGAAAGGCGUAGUCGAUGGGAAACAGGUUAAUAUUCCUGUACUUGGUGUUACUGCGAAGGGGGGACGGAGAAGGCUAUGUUGGCCGGGCGACGGUUGUCCCGGUUUAAGCGUGUAGGCUGGUUUUCCAGGCAAAUCCGGAAAAUCAAGGCCGAGGCGUGAUGACGAGGCACUACGGUGCUGAAGCAACAAAUGCCCUGCUUCCAGGAAAAGCCUCUAAGCAUCAGGUAACAUCAAAUCGUACCCCAAACCGACACAGGUGGUCAGGUAGAGAAUACCAAGGCGCUUGAGAGAACUCGGGUGAAGGAACUAGGCAAAAUGGUGCCGUAACUUCGGGAGAAGGCACGCUGAUACGUAGGUGAAGCGACUUGCUCGUGGAGCUGAAAUCAGUCGAAGAUACCAGCUGGCUGCAACUGUUUAUUAAAAACACAGCACUGUGCAAACACGAAAGUGGACGUAUACGGUGUGACGCCUGCCCGGUGCCGGAAGGUUAAUUGAUGGGGUUAGCGCAAGCGAAGCUCUUGAUCGAAGCCCCGGUAAACGGCGGCCGUAACUAUAACGGUCCUAAGGUAGCGAAAUUCCUUGUCGGGUAAGUUCCGACCUGCACGAAUGGCGUAAUGAUGGCCAGGCUGUCUCCACCCGAGACUCAGUGAAAUUGAACUCGCUGUGAAGAUGCAGUGUACCCGCGGCAAGACGGAAAGACCCCGUGAACCUUUACUAUAGCUUGACACUGAACAUUGAGCCUUGAUGUGUAGGAUAGGUGGGAGGCUUUGAAGUGUGGACGCCAGUCUGCAUGGAGCCGACCUUGAAAUACCACCCUUUAAUGUUUGAUGUUCUAACGUGGACCCGUGAUCCGGGUUGCGGACAGUGUCUGGUGGGUAGUUUGACUGGGGCGGUCUCCUCCUAAAGAGUAACGGAGGAGCACGAAGGUUGGCUAAUCCUGGUCGGACAUCAGGAGGUUAGUGCAAUGGCAUAAGCCAGCUUGACUGCGAGCGUGACGGCGCGAGCAGGUGCGAAAGCAGGUCAUAGUGAUCCGGUGGUUCUGAAUGGAAGGGCCAUCGCUCAACGGAUAAAAGCUACUCCGGGGAUAACAGGCUGAUACCGCCCAAGAGUUCAUAUCGACGGCGGUGUUUGGCACCUCGAUGUCGGCUCAUCACAUCCUGGGGCUGAAGUAGGUCCCAAGGGUAUGGCUGUUCGCCAUUUAAAGUGGUACGCGAGCUGGGUUUAGAACGUCGUGAGACAGUUCGGUCCCUAUCUGCCGUGGGCGCUGGAGAACUGAGGGGGGCUGCUCCUAGUACGAGAGGACCGGAGUGGACGCAUCACUGGUGUUCGGGUUGUCAUGCCAAUGGCACUGCCCGGUAGCUAAAUGCGGAAGAGAUAAGUGCUGAAAGCAUCUAAGCACGAAACUUGCCCCGAGAUGAGUUCUCCCUGACCCUUUAAGGGUCCUGAAGGAACGUUGAAGACGACGACGUUGAUAGGCCGGGUGUGUAAGCGCAGCGAUGCGUUGAGCUAACCGGUACUAAUGAACCGUGAGGCUUAACCUUACAACGCCGAAG